rnacentral:rRNA from 1 species
UACGAAGGGGGCUAGCGUUGUUCGGAAUCACUGGGCGUAAAGGGCGCGUAGGCGGCCGAUCAAGUCGGGGGUGAAAGCCUGUGGCUCAACCACAGAAUUGCCUUCGAUACUGUUUGGCUUGAGACCGGAAGAGGUUAGUGGAACUGCGAGUGUAGAGGUGAAAUUCGUAGAUAUUCGCAAGAACACCAGUGGCGAAGGCGGCUGACUGGACUGGU